rnacentral:tRNA from 12 species
GGGCCUGUAGCUCAGUUGGUUAGAGCAGUGGACUCAUAAUCCAUUGGUCGAAGGUUCGAGUCCUUCCGGGCCCACCA